rnacentral:lncRNA from 1 species
AGACGAAGAAGAUGAGGAAGACGAAGAAUAUGAAUAAAGAAGAAGAAGAAGAACGCAGAGAACGUUAAGAUGAAGGAGAAUCAGAGUAAAGCUUCUGUUAUUUGAAGAUUGCAACAAAAAAUACAAGGACAUUUCAAAUAAAUUAAUGAUUGUUCCAA